rnacentral:rRNA from 1 species
AACGAACGCUGGCGGCAGGCCUAACACAUGCAAGUCGAGCGCGCCUUCGGGUGAGCGGCGGACGGGUGAGUAACGCGUGGGAAUAUGCCCUUCUCUGCGGAAUAGCCACUGGAAACGGUGAGUAAUACCGCAUACGCCCUUCGGGGAAAGAUUUAUCGGAGAAGGAUUAGCCCGCGUUAGAUUAGGUAGUUGGUGGGGUAACGGCCUACCAAGUCUACGAUCUAUAGCUGGUUUUAGAGGAUGAUCAGCAACACUGGGACUGAGACACGGCCCAGACUCCUACGGGAGGCAGCAGUGGGGAAUCUUGGACAAUGGGCGCAAGCCUGAUCCAGCCAUGCCGCGUGAGUGAUGAAGGCCUUAGGGUCGUAAAGCUCUUUCGCCAGAGAUGAUAAUGACAGUAUCUGGUAAAGAAAC